UGGGGAAUCUUCCGCAAUGGACGAAAGUCUGACGGAGCAACGCCGCGUGAGUGAAGACGGCCUUCGGGUUGUAAAGCUCUGUGAUCCGGGACGAAAGAGCCUGAGGUGAAUAGCCUAAGGAAGUGACGGUACCGGAAAAGCAAGCCACGGCUAACUACGUGCCAGCAGCCGCGGUAAUACGUAGGUGGCAAGCGUUGUCCGGAAUUAUUGGGCGUAAAGGGUGCGCAGGCGGCUUUACAAGUUGGAUGUGAAAUAUUGUGGCUCAACCACAAACGUGCCUCCAAAACUGCAAAGCUUGAGUUAAGGAGAGGUAAGUGGAAUUCCUUGUGUAGCGGUGGAAUGCGUAGAUAUCAGGAGGAAUACCGGUGGCGAAGGCGACUUACUGGACUUAAACUGACGCUCAGGCACGAAAGCGUGGGGAGCAAACAGG
rnacentral:rRNA from 1 species